rnacentral:lncRNA from 1 species
CAGGGUGAGCCUUAAUCAAUAGGCACGGACGAUGAAAAGAACAAAGCAUGUGAAACUUAAGCCUUUAUAUCUUGAGCUCCAUCAGAUAAAAGCUGUACCUGGAGCUGGAAAGGACAGCCAGGCUUAGCUGGGAGCUUAAACGCAUCAGCGCGAUCCAGGUUGUUUCAGGAGUUCACUUGGCUUAUUGACUGCCGUUCCCUUCCGCCACCACCAAAGAUUAAAACACAAAAGUAAGCCUCUAAUGCCGACUUAUCAGACUCUUAACGACAGAGCCCUCAAAAGAAAAACUAAUUAAUGCGAAAUGCGCGUCUCGAUCGUGACGUGUGAUUUCCUCAGGCCACUUUCCCCUGCCCGAAAUAUGGUAAGGACAUUCUAAUUAACUUGUUUUGCAAACAAAAUGUCUAACGAAUUAAUAUAUGACUGCGCUCGUAUUUUACGUCCAAUUUGCAUUUAUUUUUGCAAUUUGAAAUCCCAUUAUGUGCUUUAUUUUGUUAGAAAUGAAGAAAAUUAGCACUUCAGCCUCGCUACACUUUUUUUUUUCUUCUCCAGAUUAAGGACAGGAAGAAAGCCCUGUUUCCUACGUGUGCAAACCUCCACACAAAAGGGGAAGCCUAGCAGAGUUCUUACAGUUCUAUGGCUAUCUCAUGGGAGCGACUUCCAAAGGCUACCAUCAGCUGAAAUUAAAGACGUUUUAGAAAACAAACAAAUCUGGGAGUAUUCAGUCAAGGCAGGCUCAGCUCCCUGGCUGGACAAGCCCCAUCCCCUGGCACCGGCUGGCCCAGCUCAGUGCCUCACAGAACCUUCUCGAAGGCCGUUUGACUGGAGGGGUGGAGGGACCGCGUGAGCAAACAUUUUCUGCUGACUGCAAAGUGUCUGCAAAGCCAGCCCAGCGCCUCUUCCUGAACCGGGUGGCUGCAUUGCACACGGAGCCUGCUUGCUUACAAAACACCUCUCUCUCCUCAUCCAAGUUUACCACGUCAACAGCAUCGCCCGCCAGCUGCCAGCCCAACGAGGAGCCAAAAAGGAGCUUUUUGGGUGCCUCCAUCUUCCUGUCUGUGGGAGCACCUCACCAGGCAGCCAAGCGCUUUGUUUUGUCUCCUGCUCCCCGGUGUCCGAGCAGGCAGUGCAAGCAGGGGCUGGUUGGGUUGGCACCGGGCCCUCUGCAGCAAGAGCGAGGAGCCCUAAUGGUGCUCGUUUGGUCGUGCACGCACACAUGAAAAAGCCUCGGGUAAGAAAAGAAUAAACAAAACCAACCCAAAAUGGCUUCUCCGUGCCAUGAGCGGAAACCGAUGGGUGAGGCAGAGAGAGACCUUCCCUUCGCUUCCACCUCAACUAGGUGGUCUGAAAAGUUCCAAAUCUCCUUCCUCCACUUGCAGCGCAGAAGCUGAGGAAUUAAUUCUGGCUCCCAAGAUCCCACAAACAUACGGCUAAAACAAGAGGGUCGGACGUUUUGUAAUUGCAACAAAAUGCAUUAAGAUGGCAGCUGAUUUAGAAUCUAAUUGAAAAAAUGGCAAUCACCACAAAGAAAAGCAAAAGGAGCCCAUAGCGUGCUGCAUUUCAAAGGUCACUGUUAGCACUGCCCAAGCUGGGUCCUCGCUGAAAUGCAGUGAGUCUGCUUGGAUGGAUCUCCCUAGUUUUAUACCAUCACUUUUCAGUUGCCGUAAGCCUUCUCAGAUGGAGUCUUUUUUCCAAGCUCUCCAGGACACCUGGGUGAAACUGGCUUUCCCCCAUGGCUCCCUCCUAUUUGGUUUCUUGGUUCUGCUCUGCCUGCCCUGACUGGUUUGGCUGGUUGGAAAAUGAACGCCGGAUUCAUGCGCCGCUCCCCCUCCCCCAGAACUGAGCAGACAAAACCUGAUCCCGACAACAAAACCCUCUUUAAUCCACCUGGGGAGAAAAGGAGGAAGAGAAAAGAGGACAGAGCCCUGCGAAAAAGUGAAGUGGAGAGGACGAACACAGGUAUGAAAAGCACUGAAGAAGUCAUGCCGCAUGCUACUCAGAUCAUUGCUACCACAGUACCUGGACACCGUGGCUUACCAGUACCAUGAACACACACACCAUUCAUGCAACUUCGGUGCUGAACGCACAGCACCUUUUCCCAAACCAAGAUCGCCAGCCUUCGAGAGGGCAACCAAAGGGACGCAGUGAGCAUCGCGGGUGCACAGCAGGGCUUCCAACCUUCCCGUGUCCUGGAAAAGAUGAACUUGGAGCGAGAGGCGUUCGCAGCGGAGGGAGGAAAAAAAAAUAAAUAAAAAUCGAACCAAACCUGAAAAAAAAAAAACAAAAAACCAACACAACUCAAAGUGGUAUCAGCCUACCGAAACCUAACCAAACUAAAAAAGAAAAUAAAAUAGGAAAGCAAAAGGAUUAAACCACGCGUGGUUUUCUUCGCAGCCCAGAGCUCUGCUGCUUGUUUAAGCUGGAAUUGAGAAGAGACGGCGAGUGUCUACGGGCUCGUCUUACAUGUAGUCCUUCACCCCUCCCUGCGCAGGUGCAUUCCUUGCGCCCAGCCAAUCUGCGGCCGCUGGCCCCCAACAGGUGUGUCCUCCGCGGGGAGCGGCCGGCUGAGCCUCAGCCCUGUGCCGAGGCGGCCUCUCCGGGGGCACUCAGCCUCCCCACUGCUGUCUUGAACAAAGAAUCGAUUAUUUACGAAGCGUGGGCUCCGACCUGGUGCUCCUGCUCCACCUCGUGCUCCUCCCAGGCGCCCCAAAUGUUGGCGUGAUGUGGUGCUACCGGUUCGGUGCUGGGAAAUAUUGCAGGGCUGUUUGUCAACCUGUUGAAUGAGAAAUGUGAUUAUUUAACUGAAACCCACCUGGGUCACCUCACCUGCAGCAGCAGAGCGUCGGUGGGUUGCUGAUUGCUUUCCCAAGCGAAGGAUGUAACAUGCACAGGGGCAACCUAAGGCACAAAGAGGUGCAAGGACUUUCUGUAGGACACAGCCAUGACUUUGCUGGUGAAUCCCCAAGGGCUGAUUAUUUCUUCAUCUUUGAAAACAGCAGCUUGGAUCCCACCAUCGUCUAGUCUUGGCACACAGAGUAAUCACAUAAACUAACAAGGAAUCCGACCAGAAUUCCACUGCCCUGCUAUGCAGGCUAGCAAUAGCAGAGGCCCACAGCUGGAUUCAUAAAAUCACAGAAUGGCUUCGGUUGGAAGGGGCCUUAAAGAUCAUGCAGCUCCAACCAAGGGUGCCAAACACCAGAUCAGGCUGCCCAUGGCCCCAUCCAACCUAUCCUUGAAUUCCUACGUCCUUCCAGGAGUACCAUGACCGAAAACCCAACAAUCUCAGCACAGCAAGCAGAUGGGGAGACCAUUACGUUCACAGCCUGCCCCGUACGAGCACACCUCACAGCAGCUUUUGCCAACGAGAGAGUUAAAUAAAAUGCUUCUUAAGUCAUCAGCACCGCCAUGUGAAAAGAACUAAAAAUAAAAGAUCUAGGGAAAAGGAAGGCAGAGCACAACCACAAGUGAUGCCGGCAUGCCAGAACAGGCUGCUCUGGACAUUAGCUUCAAUUGUGAGCUCAAUAAAACAGCAGGACU